rnacentral:rRNA from 1 species
UACAUGGGGUGCAAACGUUGCUCGGAAUUAUUGGGCGUAAAGCGCACGUAGGCGGUUUGUUAAGUCGGAUGUGAAAUCCCUCGGCUCAACUGAGGAAGUGCAUCCGAAACUGGCAGGCUUGAGUACUAAAGAGGGUCGCGGAAUUCCCGGUGUAGAGGUGAAAUUCGUAGAUAUCGGGAGGAACACCGGUGGCGAAGGCGGCGACCUGGGUAGAUACUGACGCUGAGGUGCGAAAGCGUGGGGAGCAAACCGG